rnacentral:rRNA from 1 species
CCUUGCCAGCCCGCUCAGAAACUUAAAGGAAUUGACGGGGGCCCGCACAAGCGGUGGAGCAUGUGGUUUAAUUCGAUGAUACGCGAGGAACCUUACCUGGGCUCAAAUGUAUGUUUGACGUAUUCUGAAAGGGAUACUUCUUCGGACAAUAUACAAGGUGCUGCAUGGUUGUCGUCAGCUCGUGCCGUGAGGUGUCGGGUUAAGUCCCAUAACGAGCGCAACCCCUAUCAUUAGUUGCCAUCAGGUCAAGCUGGGGACUCUAAUGAAACUGCCUACGCAAGUAGUGAGGAAGGUGGGGAUGACGUCAAAUCAGCACGGCCCUUACGUCCAGGGCUACACACGUGCUACAAUGGCCGGUACAAAGGGCAGCUACCUGGUGACAGGAUGCUAAUCUCAAAAGCCGGUCUCAGUUCGGAUCGGAGUCUGCAACCCGACCCCGUGAAGCUGGAAUCGCUAGUAAUCGCGCAUCAGCCAUGGCGCGGUGAAUACGUUCCCGGGCCUU